rnacentral:rRNA from 1 species
AGAGUUUGAUCAUGGCUCAGGAUGAACGCUAGCGGCAGGCCUAACACAUGCAAGUCGAGGGGCAGCACGGGUAGCAAUACUUGGUGGCGACCGGCGCACGGGUGAGUAACGCGUAUGCAACCUACCUAUAACAGGGGGAUAGCCCGGAGAAAUUCGGAUUAAUACCGCAUAAUAUUAUCGGAUCACAUGGUUUGAUGAUAAAAACUUCGGUGGUUAUAGAUGGGCAUGCGUGACAUUAGUUAGUUGGUGAGGUAACGGCUCACCAAGACGACGAUGUCUAGGGGGCCUGAGAGGGUAGUCCCCCACACUGGUGCUGAGACACGGACCAGACUCCUACGGGAGGCAGCAGUGAGGAAUAUUGCGCAAUGGACGAAAGUCUGACGCAGCCAUGCCGCGUGCAGGAUGACGGCCCUAUGGGUUGUAAACUGCUUUUGUAUAGGAAGAAACUCUCUUACGUGUAAGGGAUUGACGGUACUGUAUGAAUAAGCAUCGGCUAACUCCGUGCCAGCAGCCGCGGUAAUACGGAGGAUGCAAGCGUUAUCCGGAUUUAUUGGGUUUAAAGGGUGCGUAGGCGGGAGAUUAAGUCAGUGGUGAAAUCCUGCAGCUUAACUGUAGAACUGCCAUUGAUACUGAUUUUCUUGAGUACGGUUGAAGUAGGCGGAAUGUGUAAUGUAGCGGUGAAAUGCUUAGAUAUUACACAGAACACCGAUUGCGUAGGCAGCUUACUAAGCCGAAACUGACGCUGAGGCACGAAAGCGUGGGGAUCGAACAGGAUUAGAUACCCUAGUAGUCC